rnacentral:lncRNA from 1 species
GAGGUUUAGAGGUAUGGGACUGUAGGUGGAGGUAUAGAGGUAUGGGACUGUAGGUGGAGGUAUAGAGGUAUGGGACUGUAGGUGGAGGUAUAGAGGUAUGGGACUGUAGGUGGAGGUAUAGAGGUAUGGGACUGUAGGUGGAGGUAUAGAGGUAUGGGACUGUAGGUGGAGGUAUGGGACUGUAGGUGGAGGUAUAGAGCUAUGGGACUGUAGGUGGAGGUAUAGAGGUAUGGGACUGUAGGUGGAGGUAUAGAAGUAUGGGACUGUAGGUGGAGGUAUAGAGGUAUGGGACUGUAGGUGGAGGUAUAGAGGUAUGGGACUGUAGGUGGAGGUAUAGAGGUAUGGGACUGUAGGUGGAGGUAUAGAACUGUAGGUGGAGGUAUAGAGGUAUGGGACUGUAGGUGGAGGUAUAGAGGUAUGGGACUGUAGGUGGAGGUAUGGGACUGUAGGUGGAGGUAUAGAGGUAUGGGACUGUAGGUGGAGGUAUGGGACUGUAGGUGGAGGUAUAGAGGUAUGGGACUGUAGGUGGAGGUAUAGAGGUAUGGGACUGUAGGUGGAGGUAUAGAGGUAUGGGACUGUAGGUGGAGGUAUAGAG